rnacentral:sRNA from 1 species
GCGGGGCGGGGGCGCACCGGAUCCGGCCCGCGGCCGCCGCAGCCUUGCGCGUCCGCAGCACACCUGUCACGCCUGGCGCGCCCCCUGCCCGCACGCGCUCGGUCCACGCAGCUCGGGACGCGGGCGGCCCAGGCUGCCAGGUCCCCCUGCUCCGCGGCGCCGAGGGCUGGGCUGCGUCUGCGGCCGCGUGGGUGGCCGCGGUCUUGGCAGGUGGCUGCGCGCGGGGGUCGCAGACAUGCUGCUGCUGAAGAAACACACGGAGGACAUCAGCAGCGUCUACGAGAUCCGUGAGAGGCUCGGAUCGGGUGCCUUCUCCGAGGUGGUGCUGGCCCAGGAGCGGGGCUCCGCACACCUCGUGGCCCUCAAGUGCAUCCCCAAGAAGGCCCUCCGGGGCAAGGAGGCCCUGGUGGAGAAUGAGAUCGCAGUGCUCCGUAGGAUCAGUCACCCCAACAUCGUCGCUCUGGAGGAUGUCCACGAGAGCCCUUCCCACCUCUACCUGGCCAUGGAACUGUGAGGAGGGCCUGGGCAGGCUGUGGGAGCCGGGGAGGGACUGAGCAGUGAGUGGGGCUGAAGGCCAGGCUGAGUGCCUGGGUCAGCCAAACCCCUGGCACCCCCAGGGUGACGGGUGGCGAGCUGUUUGACCGCAUCAUGGAGCGCGGCUCCUACACAGAGAAGGAUGCCAGCCAUCUGGUGGGUCAGGUCCUUGGCGCCGUCUCCUACCUGCACAGCCUGGGGAUCGUGCACCGGGACCUCAAGCCCGAAAACCUCCUGUAUGCCACGCCCUUUGAGGACUCGAAGAUCAUGGUCUCUGACUUUGGACUCUCCAAAAUCCAGGCUGGCAACAUGCUAGGCACCGCCUGUGGGACCCCUGGAUAUG